AGGUCCUCAAAAAGAGUGCUAUGUGGGAAAUCCCAGAAAAUAUGUGGCUAAAUUACACCAUGGUUUUGGACAGGUUGAACCUGUGAAUAUGGAACCCAUGGAUAUGGAGGGCCAAUUGUACUUCCAUCCUGCCUAAGUCCAGCAAGAAGAAAAGGCAGGAUUCCCUAACUCAGUGGUGGCUGUCAGGGUUCCAGGUGAGAAACAUACUGCAUUCAGCCUUUUCUGAGGCACGGGAGAUUCACCUAUGGCUACGUUGCUGGAUCUCCAUUUUAAUCUCUUCUCUUAAGGUUAUGAAGCCAACUGUUUUCCUCCAUGUACAGAUGUGCUGAGGCAGGAACUCAUUUCCAUUGGAAAUCAGCUUCUGAGGAUGGAGGCUUCUGGAAGAAGCCGGCACUCAACCUACAGGACAAGCAUGGCUGGAUUCUUGAACUGGUCGUUCACAUCCAUCAGCUCAUCUGAUGUCAGCACCUUAGCACCUGUCUCACCCCAGUCGCUUUGCCAGAACUGCACCUUCACCAUGAAGCACCAUGGAUUUUCUUGAUUCAGAAUUGGACUUCAGUAUUUUUACUUUCUGACAAAAAAAAAGAAGACAUCAUGAAGAGGAUAGAUUGUCAAGCCUUUUCUAUGUCUUUUCCAGUGCUGUUUAGAAUCAGUUUAUAAAUGACUUCUCUC